GCUAAUACAUAGGAAAUACUUAAAUAGCCAAAUAUGGCUCCAUAGCGAUACACCUACGGACAGGUUGAAAAAGAUUUAUGGAAACACAAAAUAGCAAAACAGUAUCAAAUAAAGAACAGCGACGCUUAACACAGGUGGCGGUGUUUCUUCACCGGGUGCUGCUGAUACUGAACGCGCUUUGGAGCAAAAUAUGAACAGUGCUGAACUCCGCUGAGUGCAGAUCCAGGACAGUCCCGACACGUUACCUCGGCUGGGUUGGACAGCACAGUGACGGAUGACAUGUAGCUGGCAGUGAGGGACAUGGAGACAGCCAGGGCAUUGAGUUUUCGGCCCCCAGUUAAAAAGUCCCUGGAGGUUCCUUGUUUCCUGCUUCUCCAGGCGUAAUAAAAACCAACA